AAGGCUCUGAUACCAACUUGUAACACCGAAAAUUUCAAACAAUUUUUCAUUUAAAAAUAAUCGUUUAAUUCUUAGAAACACUUGUUUAAAAUCUCAUUCAUAAUCGAAUUACAAAACAUGACUCCAUUUUCACUUGUAUAGAAAACCAGGAUCCUCAAAACAUGACUCUUUCUCUGGUGUGUACAAUCAAGCCGGUGUCGUCCCGUGGUCCUGAAAGAAACCUGAAACACAUACUUAAAACAAAACACUAUAAGCACGAAGCUUAGUGAGUUGCCCCAAAAUAUCACACACAACACAUAUUAGCCACACGAGGCUAUAACUCUGUGGGUCCGUGGACCCUGCUUUGUGAACCCUCUGGUUCUAACUCUGUGAACCUUCCGGUUCUAACUCUAGGAACCCUCCGGUUCCAACUCUGAAAACAUGCACAGCAUAAAUCACAUAGAAAUAAUGCAGUACAACACAUAACAUACAUAGCAUACAAAUACUCUGUCACAUAACUCUGGUUACCUACUCAAGGUAAAGUAUAGUGAGAAGACUCACCUGGCAAGCAGAAAGCAGAUAUCCCCACACUUGAAUCUCGAACUCGCCACCGCCUAACACGUAAGGCAAAUACUCUCAUGAAUAUAACUCUCGAGACUAGAAUCAACCCUCUCAUGGCACCCUCUUAAGGGUAAAAGACUAUUUUACCCCUCUCUUGGCCCAAAGGCCACAUCGCUGACCAACCCCUAAAAGUCAACGGUCAACUCUUGGUCAAAGUCAAAGUCCUCAGUCAAAGUCAACCCUCCUGGUUGACCCUGCUCGCCGAGUCAACCCGUCGACUCGUCGAGUCCCCAUGCUCAGAACUUCCCCAAUCCGCGACUCAACUCACCGAGUCACCCCGAGACUCGCCGAGUCCCACAACUCUGAGUCCACUCGCACACAACUCACCGAGUCAUCCCUUGACUCGCCGAUUCUCGACUCAACCAGAAAAUAUUGGGACUCUUCGACAAGACUCGCCGAGUCCAACAGCAGACUCGCCGAGUCUAAGGCUAUCUUCAACCUACUCGCCGAGUUGUUCAUACAACUCGCCGAGUUCCAGGCCAUCUUCAUCCAACUCGCCGAGUUGUUCUUCCAACUCGUCGAGUUCCAGCUCAUCUUCAAGCAACUCGUCGAGUCCACCCAUGUGACUCGCCGAGUACCACCGGUCUGAACCCAUACAGAAGCAUUCCAGGCCAUGCAAUUGCUCCAAAACAUAGAUCUAGCCUCCUACAACUCAUCCAUCACGUAAAGUGGCAAACUUUACGUGAAUCCAAAGAGAUCUAUGCAUUUUCACUCUAGGGUUUGGGUUUGGGACAAAAUAGCUCCAUCAACCACUCACAAACAGGGACUUUCAUGCAUUCCAACCCUUCUCCAUUCCAGAUCUGAGGUAGCAACCUCAGAUCUAACCUCUAAACUCCAAUACAUCCAAGGAUAUGAUCUCUAACACCCCCAAAACGAUGCAUCUAAGAAAUAGCAGCUCAAAAACGAGAUAUUACCUCAAAGGAACGCCCCAACUGCAAUGAAACUCGAAUCCAAGCAAAGCCCCUUUGCUCCAAGCCUCUUACCCUUCAUGAUUUCCUCAACAUUUGCUUCUCCAAGCUUCCAAAUGCACUUGAUCCGCUCACACACAAGGGUUAGGGUUUCAGGACUUGAGGAUUAGUAAGGAGGCUGGGGGAAUGGAUGUUAUGUUCUUUAUAUAGGGCUCAACCCCGAGAAUUAGGGUUUUCUCCACUCAGCGCCUACUCGCCGAGUCCAUUACUCUGACUCGCCGAGUCGGCCACUUAACACGCGACCAAGUCGCGACUCUACUCGCCGAGUCCGCACAUGGACUCGCCGAGUCGCUCUUUCCCAAUUUACUCUUUUAUCCCUUCAACUCUACUCUUGAUAUUUCGGGAUGUUACAUAAUUGAAAAGGUUUCAAUGAAUGGCAGAACGAAUAAGAAGAAUCAAAAAGGCAAAAAGAUAAAAGUUUCUCUAUUCUAAGAAGAAGGGAGAAUAACUUUUAUUGUGUUUUAUGAUAGGUCUUAAUGAUUAAGAACCAUUUCUCAAUUGAUCCUCUAAGUGAGUCUUAGUGCAAUUGCAUGUCUAAGAAGAGGAAUCGAGAAAUGUAGAAAUGCUUAAAUCAAGAAGUCAGUCAUACUUCGUUCCAAUAUCAAGUCUUAGAGUCAAGAUUGUGACUCGAGCGAAACGUCUUAAGUAGGUUUAUAACACUCAUCAAAUGUGGAAUUUGGAAAGGUUUUCUAAUUCUUUCUUAUUUGAAAUUGGAAAGUUGUGAUGUCUUGGAUAAGACAAAGACCACCUAGGACCAAUUUUGUGAAGUGUUUUGUCUUGAUAAAAGCUACACCAACUCUUGAAUAUUUGUUUAUUAAGAAAAGUUUCUUGACAAGAGAAUCUUAUAUGUCAAGGAGUAAGUAGGAGCCUUAAUGGUCUUGAAAGGUUUCAAGAACAAAUUCGAGAAUAAACCUAGUUAAUCAUCACUAGCACAUGACUUGAGGUUUACAACCUAUCAUGUUGACAUUAUUUUGUUUAUGUGCCAUUCCAAUUGAGUUAAUUAUAUACGUGAGUUCUAUGUGUUCUCAUUUGAAUGCAUAAAGAUAAAGGGCCUUGAUUGAUGGAAAUUACAUUGAUAUGUAAGGAUAAGUUGCUAAACUACCUGGAAGAGAUAGUGGGCACUCGUGUUACCAUAAGGCUAGAAAUCAAGAAAGUUCAAUCCAUAUGAGUUUGGAUUUGUCGCAAACUUGGUUUUGGCAAAUUCACAUGGAUAGGAACACAUACACCAUAAAAUCUAAGUGUCAUAAGAUUCCCCCCCCCCUUCAUGAAAAUGACUGUGAGGAAAUGCUUUCAAUAAGAGAGAUUUUAAGAAGAUAACAAUUGUGAAAAUUGUAUUAUCAAGUUCGAUUAUGGUUACGACAUCCCUUUCCAUAGUUCAAAUUGUGAGAUUUGGCGUCUAGUCUAACAUUUGGGACUUAUUGAUAUAAGUUCUAAAUUUUUUAGACACACAUAUGAGCUAUCUAAGGAAAAGGUGUAUAAGUUUAAGAAGCUUAGAUAAAGUCUUAUCGAAGCAUCUGGUAUUAGAAAUAGGAACUUCAGAAAUUCAAUAGGCAUUGUUUUCUAGAAGUUCAGCGGUUUUCUGAAUACAUGUCAAAGCUAGUGGGAGCAUAAGUGUUAUGCUUAUACGAUAAUAAUCAUCAUGAUAGUGGGAGCAUAAGUGUUAUGCUUGUAUGGUUGUUAUGGCAAGUAUUGCAAGCUAGCAAUAUUAAUUAUAGAAAAACAAAGAUUCAAUUUGCAAAGUUGUAUGGUUUGAAAAGUUGUUUUGCUAUAAUUAAGGGAGAGAAUAUUAUACUUCGUUUCAAAAUCUAAAGCUUAGAUUGAGAAAUUUUAAUAAAUUUAGUCAAAGGAUACAUAGUGUGUUCUCAAAUUUCGAUUAUGAUUACGACAUCCCUCUUCAUAGUUCGAAUUGUGAGAACGUGACACAUAAAAUAUUAUGGCAAAAGAUUGAUAAAGCAUCAUAUCUUUAUGUAAGACAUUAUGCAUCGUGUCCCAUAUGCUUCGGGUAUAGGAUCGAUUUCAAAUGCUAUAAUAUUUGACCACUCUAAAAUUUUCCAAAUGUCUAGCUCAUUAAGAGGGAAAAAGGACUAGAAUCGGUUUUGACUAAAAUAAUUAAACAACUAUCAAAGGACUAUCCAAAGUUCGCUGAGGAUUGGUCGCUUGUGAGUAGUUGGAAGUAUGGUAUUGGAUGGACCAUAUCGACAUUAUUAUGAAUAGAUAAGAUUCUAUUAAGAAUGAGUUGUCAUAUGGCAAAUAUGGAANGAUAUUGGGAAUUGGAUAUUGAGAGUCGAUGUCUAGAUUAGAAAAUUUUAUGCAAGAAGAAUGUUCAAAGGAAUGUACUUUGAAUGUGAGACUUCAUGUCUAUGGAAUUGUCUUGUAACAAUUUCCGAUAGAGUACUUUGUAAUUUCAUUGGCCAAGUCUUGGUGACUUUUGUGCUAUGAUUUUGCGAAAGGAUCGUUGCAUAAAAUGUUAGAAUCUAGCAUAUUCUAGUAGUGGUAAGGAAUUUGUAUUCUUACACUAAUGAUAUGGAUAAGGAGUUGUGAAAUAAGUAUCAUUGGAAAAGUUUUCAAUUGAUCUAUUUCACAAAGUAUGAACCAUAGGUAAACAUAGUGUGCAUGCUCGAAGCAUGGGACAACUAUUGUUGUAAUUUGAGUAAUAAGUUGAUUUUCUGAAACAGUAAACGAUGACUAAUGAGUAAUCAAUAUGGUGUUUAAACAAAAGUGUCUUAUUUACUCCCACAAGUUUGGGGCCAUGUAGGAUUAAGUAUUAUUGUUGUGUAUGUUUUAGUUUGCAUGUUUUGACUUCCAGAAUAACUGGGUUAUUUNGAAUUUGUAUUCUUACACUAAUGAUAUGGAUAAGGAGUUGUGAAAUAAGUAUCAUUGGAAAAGUUUUCAAUUGAUCUAUUUCACAAAGUAUGAACCAUAGGUAAACAUAGUGUGCAUGCUCGAAGCAUGGGACAACUAUUGUUGUAAUUUGAGUAAUAAGUUGAUUUUCUGAAACAGUAAACGAUGACUAAUGAGUAAUCAAUAUGGUGUUUNUUCAGGUUUGGGACGUAUAUGAGGGACUUUAUGGCCGUCAUUGUUCACCCUAGUCCUCUGAGAGAAACCCUAAUUCGUUUGUGAGCAUCUGGAGCAAGGUAGAAGACCAUUGUUGAUUUUGGAAGUGUUGUUUUUCAAGGAAGAGGAGGCUUGGCUAAGGGAACAACAAGGGAAGCCACGUUCUGAGAAUUGGGGACACAGAGAGCACGUUAUUCAGGUAAUAUUUCGAAUUGCAUCCUCCUAUGAUUGAUGUGUAUAUGGAUUUAGGGUUUAUUGAACCCUUUUGUGGCUAGAUUGAGUGUUACCUUAGUCCCCCAAACGAUUGGAACCCUGUAUUGGGAUCUUUGGAAGUCCAGAAUGUCCCAUGCCUGAGCAUUUCGUGAAUCAAUGGAGGUUUUGGAUUGGAAUCCUUAUGCCUUAGGUCAAAAUGUAAAUUAUGAGUCAUGGGGUGUAUUAUGAGCACCGAAAUGAGGACCUUACGUGAUGAAUCAGUCUAGGAAGGCCAGACCUAUGAAUGGUCGGAGCAGUUCUGACCUUAGAAAGCAGUUUGAGCGGUUGCAUGGCAUGGACUCGCCGAGUCCGAUGAACAGACUCGGCGAGUAGCUUGAAGAUUAACUGGGACUCGUCGAGUUGUUCUUCAGACUCGGCGAGUUGAGUCGGGGUGGCCCCGCGAUUCUUCCAGGAGGAACUCGUCGAGUCAGGGGAGAUACUCGACGAGUAGAAAGGGAAUCUUAGAGAAUUGGUGAGGACGUCUAGACUCGCCGAGUCGCCCUAGCACUCGCCGAGUCCGGUCAAAGUUGACCGUUGACCGUUGACCGUUGACCAGAGUGGACCUGUGUUGACUUCUUAGGGAUAGUCAACAUUAGAGAUAUAAAGUGUUAACUAGGGACAUUAUGAUGUUAUAGGAGGAUUAGAGCUCGGAGAAUCGGGCACGAGGGAUUCCCAGGUUGUGAGAUAUCGAGACACGCGAGGUGAGUCUUCUCACUAUACUUUACCUUGAGUAGGUAACCAGAGUUAUGUGAUAGAGUAUUUGUAUGCUAUGUAUGUUAUGUGUUGCACUGCAUUCUUCUAUGUGAUUUAUGCUAUGCUUGUUUACAGAGUUAGAACCUGAGGGUUCACAGAGUAUGGGUGCACGGACCCACAGAGUUAUAGCCUCGAGUGGCUAAUAUGUGUUAUAUGGUAUUUUGGGGAACUCACUAAGCUUUAUGCUUACAGUGUUCGUGUUAUUUGUUUCAGGUACUAGUGAGAAUCGCGGGAAGGCGCCGGCCUGAUCAGUGCACACACGCAGGAUUUUAUAUUAUGUGAUCUUGGGGAUUUUAUAUGUGUUAUGAAAUGAAUUACCAACAUGAUGUUUUUAUGAAUAUUAAAUGAAGUUGUCUUUAUUAAAUGCGAAAAAUUAUUUUUAAAAUUUCUGGUGUUACAAUACGUUGGAAGUAGGUUCGAAGGAAGACUGUCAUGAAGAGUCUGUAGAUUGUCUAAAGAGUUUAGACAUAGCACAAGUUUGCUGCAGAGUUCAUGAGUGCUUUAAUAAGAUUAGAGUACUGGAUUAAACCCACGCUCACAUGAAUCACUUCAUGGAUUUCAUCACGAGUGACUGUGAGUCGAUAAUAUUGUACAUUCUUGAAACCGAGACGUGUGAGUUGUUAUUUGAUGGUCGGUUGCACAUUGAUGAUAAGUAAACGCACCAGUAACUUGGUGUUAUAAAACUUAUUGUUGUGUGUGAUUCGAUCAGUAAAUGCAAGCGGACAUUUGAGUUGAGGUUUAUCCAUUCCUCUUACCCAAAGUGGGAUAAAAGCGAUAUAUGUGGGCCCCUCGAUGAUUUAGUGAUGACACCUAAGUGCUUGGCCAAGCCGGGACUAAGUUGAUGUGUUCAAUUGUAGUCUGUUGUCAGUCAUCAUAAAUCGGAAGUCGGGAAACAGUACAGAGAGAAUGAUUAAAAUCCAUCUCUUAUGUCUAUACGAUAUCUUGAGAAUGGAGGAAUAUAUGAUCCCUUAUCUAAAGGACACGCAUAUCUGAUAAGAUCAGAGUUGACAACGACUUUUGAAAGCUAUGAUUGCUGAUCAGGUUCUGAAGUUACGCAAAAUAGUUAUUAGACUUAUCCAAGUGGGAGACUGUUGGAUUAGUGUCUAAGUCCAUAACUAUUUUGGUAUGUACUUGACCCGAUUAUGAGCAUGGUCCUUUUGGGUUGUCUUCACCGUAGAAAUAUGUAGGAUGAAUUAAGGAGAGAAAGGUUUAAUUAUGAUUUAUUAAUAUAUUAUAAGAAUGAUAUAUUAAAGGAGAAAUCAUAAUGUUUAAUCAAUAUUAGUCAAGAAUUAAUCAAGAAUUAAUUUUGUGGCUAAAAGAGAUUAAUUAAACUCAAGGGACUAAAAUUGUAAUGAUAAGAUAAUUGCAAUUUGGGCUAUAGAUCACUUUGGAAUAAUAGGUUGGACUAAUUCUAUGGGGAAGCCCAUUAGAAAUCGUCCAAGGCAUGUUCAAGAAGGGGUCCAUGGGCUGCUUAGGGCUUAAGCAGUCAAAUUAGGGUUUCCUGGUUUGAUAACCCUAAUUGCCUAAGUAUAUAAGGAACCCUUGGGNGGCACCAAAAUGUGGCUAACACUUCCUUUAGGGUUUCCAGCCGUUUUUUGUGCCUCCCUUCUCUUCCCUCUUCAUCUAUGGUGCAACACUUGAGGCACUAUGCUUUCUGAAGCCAAGGAUUGAUUGUUAUUGCUAUAUAACAAUGAGAGGUAAGAUCUAAACCCUAUUUUAUGUUAAUAUGAUUAAUUUUAUGCUAGAUCUAGGGUUUAUAGCUUUGGAUAUUCAAUUACAUGUUCAUUAGACAAACUAGAUCCAAAAGCUAUUAGGGUUUUCAUGUACACCAUAGGAUCGAUGUAUUGCUCAAAACCCAUCAGAAAUAUGAGUUGGAUGACGAGUUGAGAGGUGAUAUAGACCAUGAGGUAAGGGUGAGAGGUGGACGAUGUGAGAAUCCUUGUUCCCAAAUGCUGGCCCGUCAUCUAGCAGAGUAUGGAUGACAACCACGGACUAUUCUAGAAAGUCCAGUGGAACACUAGCAGGCUCGCAACCUGUAGGUGUUAUGAACGAUUUGUUCACCCGGUGUACUCUAAACCUUGGCGAUCAUGCAGACUUGAUGCCUAAACCAUAGUGACUAUGCAUACUUAGUGCCUAAACCUUGGCGAUCAUGCAGACUUGAUGCCUAAACCAUAGUGACUAUGCAUACUUAGUGCCUAAACCUUGGCGAUCAUGCAGACUUGAUGCCUAAACCCUGGUGACCAUGCAGACUUAGUGCCUAAUCCCUGGAGACUAUGCAGACUUAGUUCCUAUUGUGUAAACCGUGGCAAUGAUGGACCUCAUGCGGAUUCCUUAGGAUGAUCCUUAGGAAUAAAUGAACGGGGAAUAGCUGAUUCUUAGGGUAGAUCCUUAAGAGUAAAGAGGAUAACGGGGAUGAGUAAUUGGGUUGAUUGUUUCAUGUUUAAAUAGAAUAAUUAUAUUAUUGUGGGUUGAAAACCCUAUGUACUCAGCAGGUUUCCCAACCUGACCCACUCAGUUUAUUUAUAUCACAGGUGUUGAUAUCAAGUCACAUUACACUGAGAGAUUAAGGAGAUCUAAAUCACUAGUGAUAAUGAAUGUAAGUUCUUUUUAUGCUUAUGUUUAUGUAUUGACGAUGACAUCCCAAAUGUUUUAAAAUGAAUAAAAAUACUUUUCUUCGGAAAUGCUUUGAUAAUGUAUUUAUCAUAUUUUACUGGGAAGAAAUUCCGCAACAUUUUUAUUAAAAGAGGUACUCUGAUUUUUAUAAAGUAUAAACAAAAUCGGUCUUUUCUGACUGUGAAAAUGGGGAUGUCACAAAUAAUAAUAAAAUUACUUCUCGGGGUUCCGGGUUUAUCAUUAAAUAUUUUAUAUUAAAAGGGAUGUUACAUAUUGUGGCUAAUUAUUAGUCUAGAUUUGUCAAUAAGUCAAAGUCUACUUCAUGAUCUAUCAAGUAAGGAUCAGCAAGGCAGGACAAUUGGGAGGCUGGUCCAUUUCGGCAUAUAGCUUUUCUGAAAUCCAACAACCAAACCCAACGUGACCAUUCUAGACACAUCUCCCGUAAGUAGUUCAAUCAGUAUAACGACGUUGAAUCACUAAUAAGUUUUAUUUAUAUGUUCAUAAUAAUGAUAUUAUACGCUAUAUUUAAAGUAGGGUAGAAAACUUACAUACCCAGGAGUCAGGCUCUGCAGGGGCAGAACUUCAUCGCUGAAUCUUUCUAAGAAAGAUUCUUGCAGCGCUUCAAUGCUCACCUCACUAUACUAAAAAAUACAGAAAGAAAAAUUCGAAUCAUGAGUGACCGAAAUGCUCGGGGGAUAAAAAGAGAAAUAAUUUUGAAUUAAGAGAAUGGUGCAAGAAAUAUAAGAGAGCAUAGAGGCUCUUAUUUAUAGUAAUUGAAUUUUCAAAACCCACCCUAUAUAUUUACUUAAAUGACUAAACACCCCUUUGUAAUACUAUUUUAAAUAGAUUUAAUGAUAUUUGUACUAAAAUAACGUCGAAAGUACUCAAUAUUAGUCUUAUAACGACCGCAUCGUCGAUACCCUUCAAUGAUAUAUACAUAUGUAUAUAUAUGUAGACGUAUAUAUGAUUUACGCUUUAUUUUAAUACGUAAAUGUGCUAUUACAAAUUAUAACUCGUUCGUACGAACUCCAUUUUUGAUGUUCUUUAUAUACACGCAUUGGUAUUUACGAGUACUACAACUUUCAUUUAGACGCCGUCAGCUAUUUAUCAUUCUAUCUCAGAUCUAUAAAAUUGUAUCGAAUUUAACGCGCUCGAAGAGUAAGGACCAAGUUUCGUCCAAAUCUUUAACAUAUGAGCUCUAUUCUUGACGUUCUUUAUAUCCACGCAUUGUUAUUUUUUAGUACUACAAAUUUCAUUUAGAUUCCAUCGGUAAAUUCUUAUUCUAUCUCGAAUUUACAAAUGUGUAUCGAAUUUGUCGCGCUAGAAGAGUAGGGACUAAGUUUCGUCCAUAUCUUUCGCAUACGAGCUCCGUUUUAGAUUGUCUUUUUGUCGUUGACCUCCUAUUAACGAGAUCGUAAAUUCUCGUUUAGAUUGUUUUGGAUAAAAAUUAACCGAUCUAAAAUUCAAAUUUCGGGUUGUGCACUCCUAUGCUAAAUUUUAGAAAAAUCAUAACUUUCUCAUAUGAAGUCAGAUUUGGACGCUCUUUUUAUACACACUCUCAGUUUAACAUAUAAUACAACUUUAAUAUAGAUCCUUAAGACUAGAAAGUAUUUUAUCGUAAAUUUACUUUUUACGAUUUCCGGUGUCGUGCCGGUUUUACCGUAAAACUUUAACGAGUCAUAAGUCGGAUUUAUAUGUACGGAACCCUUGUGACAUAUACUAUAACUUGGUCAAGAUUAUUUAUUCUAAAUAGUAUUAUAUCAAAAAAAAAUAUUUGUGACGCUUAUUGUCUCUAAAGUGACUAACCUGAAUCUGCGGGUGUCACAAUUAUCUCCCCCAUUGGAUGAUUACGUCUCAUAAUUAUCAACGAAAUAGGGCUUGUAUAAUGACUCCAUACAUUAUCUUUUCAUCCUAGUUAAUAAUUGUAACUCCUAUGUUCCUUCGAAUGAGUAUCUAACUCUUGGACUUCUGUACUUCUGGCGGUGCUCGAUCUUGCACCCGCUCUCUAUCUCACGUUCGAUUUUCAAUCGUGACCUUCAAGUCAUAAUCUCAAUCCUUAUUGGAGACUCCUGCUCCUUCGGAAAUAGUCUUUACUUCGAUUACCGUAACAGACUGAUGGGACAUGCUCUAAUGACAUCUUGUUGUAUGAUGCAAUCCUAAGACUCAGGUCUUUUAGAGUCAAAUUCCAGAAUAGAAUAUACCUUCUUUCAUGUUCUAAUGUUAUAUAAUCACAUUCUAGCAUGUAGCACUUCUAGCUACAAGCUUCUUACCUUAACAACGGUUGUGAUACUUUUAUUGAUCGCUUCGAUUGUCUUUCACUUCAAUCUUCUAAAUUAAGUUGGAUGCUACAUCGAUUUUUGUUCUUUGAACCACGUAAAAUAAUCAUCUUAGUCAGAAUCGAUUUGAUUUAACCACUAGGGUCAGAUUAACAAUCAUCUUCUUAGUCAUUACCGAAACGAUGGUAAUGACAGGCAUGAACAAAACAUAAUCAAUUACAAUUGCAUUGGUAACCUUGUGACUUUCCCUAAUCCAAGCAUGAGUCUUGUGCUUCCGGUAGUAUUGGCCUCUACUACCUUUCGCACCUACUUAUACUCGUCCCAAGUAUUGUCUCGCAGUUCUCCAAGUUAUUAUCACAAAAACAAUUUUAACACAUACAAAUGUGUCCAAACAAUCAUAUAAUUUUCUCUAGACUCUACUAGGACAUCUUCCAUGCAUAUCUUCGAUCACUAAUUCUGCUUCAACUCGGUUAGUAAUGGAAAUGUCAGAUGAUGGGAUAACUUCAUGGAUUAUACCAGAAAAUCUUUCUUUCUGCUAAUCGAAAGUGUACUUAUCAUGUACUAGAUGUAUUAUUUAUUAAAUUCAUUCUAAAGGCAAGAUAUCACUCUUCCGAUAUAUUCCGAUAGGUACUAUUCAGUAUCGUAAGCCUUCUCAUUUCCUCCAUUUACUAAAUUCACUACGAGACUUCACCAUGAUGCUUUGCACACCAAAACAGUCGUUUGGUGUACCGAGAUGAGAAUAAAGAUAGAGGAAGGUUUAGACUCGUAUUCCUCCAUAUUACCUCGAAAAAUUAUAUGUCAGUUCUAAUAUCAUAAUUAAACGUUUAGAAAUCUAAACACAUAAAAUUUCUAGAUUCGGUCGGCAACAGACCAUAGAUCCAAUUAACCGAUAGCAUAAAGCAUCACAAAUUAUUAACCACAAAAAAGCAUCUUAGGCAUCGUCCUAAAUUAAGCUAGUGCUUGUGUCUAUUCAAGCUUAAACUAAUGCUCUGAUACCAACUGUGACAUUCUAAUUUUCACGGCCAGAAAAGACCGAUUUUUUUAUGCUUUAUUUUGAAAAUCAGAGCAACCUUUUAAAGAAAAGAGUUUCGGAAUUUGUUCGCAGAAAAACAUGAUAAAUAUGCUAUCAAAGCAUUUCCGAAGAAAUGUAUUUUUAAUCAUUUUCAAAACAUUGGGAUGUCAUCGUCAAUACAGAAACAUAAUCAUAAACAGAACUUACAUUCAUUUAACUAGUGAUCUACAUCUCUUUUAAAUCUCUCAGUGUAAAGUAGCUUCAUAUCGACACCUGUGAUACAAAUAAACUGGAGUGGGUCAGGUUGGGGAACCUGGUGAGUACAUAGGGUUUUCAACCUACAAUAAUAUAUUUGUUAUGUUUAAACAUCAAACAGUCAACGCAAUUACCCAUCCUCAUUAUCUUCUUUACUCUUAAGGAUCUACCCUAACAAUUACUUAUUCUUCAUCCAUUUAUUCCUAAGGAUUCUCUAAAGGAAUAGGCACAAAUUCCAUCAUUGCCAAUGACACAACUGUCAAUGUUAUCUAUUAAGAACAACUGCCAAUAUUACCAUUUAGGCACAACUGCCAAAAUUGUGACAUUCUCUAUGAGGCGCAACGGCCGAUAUUAUCCUUUAAGGCAGCUGCUAGGGUUGUGAUGUUCUCUACUAGGUGCAGCUGUCAAUACAAUCGUUAGAGCGCAGCUGCUAGGUUGCAUAGAGUACAUCGUAGAUCAAAAAUAUCUACAGGUUGUGGCGCAGCUGUCAAUGCUCAUCUAUAGGGCUCUAAGUCCAUGCUGCCAAUGUUCACCUAUAGGGCACUAAGUCCAUACUGUCGAUGUUCCUCUAUAUCAGCUUUCAUCCCUCAUCAUUUAUCUACCCAUGUUUUUCCCAACAUAUUUUGUAGAUAUAAAAUACAUAUAUAGUUUAAAUCAUUUAAAACAUGCAUAAAAUUGUUCAUCCAACAUAGAUAGCAAGUAUACAUAAAAUAUGCACACAUAACAUGUAAUUUAUAUCAAAUACUUCAUAUCUAUGUGUAAGAUGAAAGUAAAUAUGCAAUCACAUAUAAACUCUUCAACAUAUAUUUAACUCGUUAACAUAUAUUUAAUACUUUAAUUAAUAUUUGUAAUAAAAUCAUGUUCAUGAAAGGGACUAUGCACUCAUAAUACGUAAUUUAUAUUAAAUACUUCAUAUCUAUGUGUAAGAUGAAAGUAACUACGUACUCACUUGUUAAAGUGACGAAUCAAAAUUCGAGCAACGCUUCGCUUCUUAAUAAUAUUAUUUCCUUCGACAAAACUUAGUAUUAUUACCACUAGAUUUUCGUCUAAUAUUUAUUGUGACUAAUUAUUAGUCUAUAUAUGUCAUUAACUCAGAGUCUACUUCAUGAUUUAUCAAGUAACGAUCAGCUAGGCAGGACAGUUAGGAAGUAGGACCAUUUUGGUAUAUAGCUUUUCUGAAAUCCAUUAAAAAACCUUAUGUGACCAUUCUAUCAGUAUAACAACUUUGAAUCACUGAUAAAUUUUAUUUAUAGGUUCAUAAUAACAAUAUUAUAAGCUAUAUUUAAUGUAGGGUAGCAUAACUUACUUAGCUAGGAGUCGGGCUCUGCAGGGGUAGAACUUCGUCACUGAAUCGUUCUAAGAAAGAUUCCUGCAACGCUUCAAUGCUCACCUUACUAUACUAAAAACUACAGAAAGAAAAAGUCGAAUCAUGAGUGACCGAAAUGCUCGGGGGAUAAAAAGAGAAAGAAUCUUGAAUGAAGAGAAUGAUGCAAGAAAUAUAUGAGAGCCUAGAGGCUCUUAUUUAUUGUAAUUGAAUUUUCAAAAACCACCAUGCAUAUUUACUUAAAUGACUAAACACUCCUUUAUAAUACCAUUUUAAAUAGAUUUAACGAUAUUUGUACUAUACUAAUGUCGAAAGUACUCAACAUUAGUCUUAUAAUUACCGCAUCGUCGAUUACUUUCUAAUGAUAUAUACAUAUGUAUAUAUAUGUAGACGUAUAUAUGAUAUACGCUUUAUUUUUAUACGUAAAUGUGCUAUUAAAAAUUAUAACUCGUUCAUACGAAUUCCAUUUUUGACGUUCUGUAUAUAUCCAUGCGUUGGUAUUUACGAGUACUACAACUUUCAUUUAGACACCGUCAGCUAAUUCUCAUUCUAUCUCAGAUCUACAAAACUGUAUCGAAUUUAUCGCGCUCGAAGAGUAGGGACCAAGUUUUGUCCAUAUCUUUAACAUACGAGCUCUAUUCUCGAUGUUAUUUAUAUCCACGUGUUGGUAUUUAUGAGUAAUACAACUUUCAUUUAGACUCCAUUGGCUAAUUCUCAUUCUAUCUCGAAUUUACAAAUUUGUAUCGAAUUUGUCGCGCUUGAAGAGUAGGGACUAAGUUUCAUCCAUAUGUUUCGCAUACGAGCUCCGUUUUAGACUGUCUUUUUAUUGUUGAGCUCCUAUAUACGAGAUCUUAAACUCUCGUUUAGACUAUUUUGUAUAAAAAUCGACCGAUCUAAAAUUCGAAUUUCGGGCUGUACACUCCUAUGCUAAAUCAUAGAAAAAUCAUAACUUCCUCAUACGAAGUCAGAUUUGGAUGUUCUUUUUAUACACACUCUCGGUUUAACAUAUAAUACAACUUUAAUUUAGAUCCCUUGGGAUACAAAGUAUUUUAUUGUAAAUUCACUUUUUAUGAUUCCUGGUAUGUGUCGGUUUUGUAGUAAAAACUUCGACGAUUCAUAACUUCUUUGUUAUAACUCGGAUUUCAAUGUUCUUUAUAUGUACGGAACCCUUGUGACAUAUACUAUAACUUGGUCAAUAUUAUUUAUUCUAAAUAAUCUUAUACCAAAAAAGUUAUUUUUGACGCUUAUUGUCUCUAAAUUGAUAACCCGAAUCUGCGGAUGUUACAUGCAAGGGCUCCCAUUGCUGAAGUUUGAGAAGGAUCAUCUAUGUGUAGCCUGUGAACUAGGGAAGCAGAGCAGAAAGGUUCGCUCAACAAUCAUAAACACCAAAGUGAUCGAUCCACUUGAGCUUUUAUAUAUAGAUUUAUGUGGUCCAUCGGCUAUCGAGAGCAUUUGUGGUAAAAAGUAUAUCUUAGUAAUUGUUGAUGAUUUUUCUAGAUUUACGUGGGUUUAUUUUCUCAAGUAGAAUGAUUAAGCUUCAACUGCGAAAGCUUUCCCGGAAUGUUCGCAGCGACAAUGGUUCAGAGUACAAAAACCAUGCGUCUGAAGAAUUCCUAACUGAAAAGGGAGUUACUCACAACUUCUCGGCUCUUUACAGUCCACAACAAAAUAGGGUUGUUGAACGACGAAACCGUUCUUUGUGCGAAGCUGCGAGAACCAUGUUGUCAUUUGCGAACUUGCCACUUUAUUUUUGAGCAGAAGCUAUUGGCACAAUGUGUAUUACUCAUAAUCGAUCCCUCCUUAGUAAAUGAUUCUCCAUUACCCGCUAUGAAAUUCUUAACAAAAGGAAACCCUUGUGACAUAUAUUAUAACUUGGGAUACUCUCUGACUUUGAAGGCAUAUAUGGUUCUCAACAAAAAGACAAGACAAAUAUAAGAGACCUAUUAUGUCACCUUUGAUGACAAUUAUUUAAAGAAGUAUUAGAAGACUGACUCUCAAUCAGAGGAAAAUUUUCCCAUAACCAAUCCGAUGACAAUUCCUCUUUUUGAUAUUUAUGUGGAAUUUCUAAACCUAUUUGAUGAACCGGAGAAGGCAAUCUCUUUGGAAUCCAAGGCAGCAGAUAACAAGGAGUACGAGCUGAAAAAGAUUAUUGAUGACGUUGCGAAAGAUAUGGAACACUAGCCACCCACUUCGAAAGAAUAUGACAUUCCGUGCCAACCUCAAGCUGUGAAUGUUCCACCUCAGGGGGAGGAUUUCACAUCAACUUCCUCAUCUGACACACCUGUUGAGGGGGAGAAUGAAGUUCCUGAAAUCAGCCUAGAACCUUCAUUCCAGUGUGAGAAUCCAACUGUGGAAGAAGAGUUUAAUCCAUCAUUCGAGGGGAAGAAUACGAAUAAAAAUGAUGAUUCGGAAGUUCAAUCAGAAUUUGAAGAAGUAAAUGUAGAACUAGAUCCAUCCUACGAUCCUAACUACCCUUCACAAACAAAAUGGAAUAGAGAUCAUCCGAAAAAGCAAGUGAUCGGAGAAGUUUCUUCGGGAGUUCUUACGAGAGCACAACAUAAGGCGAAACAAACUUCACUAUUCUCCAAAGUGGAAUUUUGCAUGUUUAAUUCGUUUAUCUCCAAGAUUGAACAAAAAAUGUUAAGAUUGCUCUUGAUCAUUCUGAUUGGGUGCAAGCAAUGCAGGAAAAGCUUAAUGAGUUUGAAUGAAAAAAGGUUUAGAGACUUAUUUUGACUCUGAAGGAUGUAUCUGUUGUAGGCUUAAAAUGGGUGUUUCGUAAUAAGCUUGAAAAAGAGGGUGAUGUGAUACUAAACAAGGCUCGGUUAGUAGUCAAAGGGUAUUGCCAAGAAGAAGGGGUUGACUAUGAGGAAACUUCUGCACCAGUAGCAAGGUUGGAGUCAAUUCAAAUCUUUCUGGCAUAUGCAGCACACAUGAACUUUGAAGUCUAUCAAAUGGACAUCAAGUGUGUCUUUCUGAAUGGGGAACUAGAAGAAACAGUGUAUGUGGAACAACCACCUGGAUUCGUAAACAAAAAAUAUAUGAACCACUGUUACAUUCUGUACAAAGCAGUCUAUGGUCUGAAGCAAGCUUCGCGAGCCUGAUAUGAAACUCUCACUAGAUUCUUAAAACAAAUUUAAACAAGGCUCAGUCGACACAAUAUUCUUUCGUAAGAAAUAUGGUGACCAUCUGAUGAUCGUCCAAAUCUAUGUUGAUGAUAUCAUCUUCGGAUCUACUAAUACUAGAUUAACUGCAAAGUUCUGAAAGUUGAGGGAGACUAAAAUUGAGAUGAGCUUACUUGCGAAGAAGACCUUACUUGCGAAUUUUAGAAUGGUGGGAGAUUCAAAGGUGAAGGUUUCAAUGGCAUUCAAAACGAAACUAACUCCAUCUCUAGACAAACCAGCUACUGAUAUGACUCUUUAUCGUCAAAUGAUAGGUUCAUUGUCCAUACAUCGUGUUUUCUUUUUGCUAUUGUGAUAGGUUUCAAACAAACCCUAGGGAACCCUACAUGACUGCUAUUAAGAACAUCUUCAGAUAUCUAAAACAAACAACCUCGCACGGAAUUUGGUACCCAUCUAGUUUGGGGUUCUUUUUGCAAGCAUUGUCGGAGGUUGCAAUUUUAAUCGCAAAAGUACAACUGGAGGAUGCCAAUAUCUUGAUGGCAAACUCGUUAGUUGGCAAUCAAAGAAACAGACAUGUGUCUGUCUCACUGUCGACCGUCGAAGCUGAAUAUAUUGCAGCUACCUCCUGUACCUCGCAGGUGAUAUGGAUUCAAUGUCAGUUAAGGGACUAUGGCAUUAACAUGAAAAAAUACCCUUAUACUGUGAUUCCGAAAGUGUCAUUCGCAUCUUCCACAACCCAGUGCAACAUUUGAAAACCAAACACAUUGCACUGAGGUAUCACUUCAUCAAGGAUCAUGUGGAAGAUGGAAAUGUCGAGAUUCACUUUGUUAGAUCCUCUAAUCAACUUGCCGAUAUCUUAACGAAAGCGUUGCCAUAACAAACCUUUAACAUAAUACUUCAAGGCAUAGGGAUGAUUGAAGCAUAAUCAGUUCUGAAUCAACCUUCGUACUCGUAAUUUAUUGGAUGAACUGGAAAUUUAUCCAAAUGUUCGGAGUGAUAUGUAGUAUACUUUCAAGUUGUGAAUUGGUCUGAUCACUCGGAGCGACUCGCAGCUACUGUUCAUUUGAAGGUUCGGAGCUUCUUGUAUCCUUUGUAUAUUUUGUUUUUCUUAAGUUUCUGUACACUUGUGUUUUUGUUCUUUUACUUUCUGUUUUUAUUUAUUUCUUUUUUAGAAAAAUCAAAAAUCCAAAAAUAUUUCUAUUUUUAUUUCCUCUUCAGAAAAAUUCAAAAAUUACAAAAACAUGCUCUUAAUUUACAGUCUUAUUUCCUUUUAUGAAAAAUAUCAAAAAUACCAAAAAUAAUAGACAAUUGAGCAGGAUUGAAGGAAUAAAUCAUAACACUCUCAAUUGUCAUUGAUGGGGAAGAUAUUUAACUCCAAAUCUUUACACUAGUUAAGUGUCCUUAUAAGCAUGUUGCUGCAUGUUGUCUGAAGCCUCUGAGACUCUAUGUUCGAAGCCUUAAUGAUUCAAUAAUACCAAUUGUUUCUUCCCAAUCAGGCUGAUAAUUCACAUAAGUCAUUGAGCUACCUUACUCUUCUCAUAUUGAGUUAAGAGAUGACUUCUUUGUCAUUCUUUCGUAUAGCAGAGGUACACUCUUCUUCGGAACCACCUUCCAAAAUUUCUCCAUCACUUUCGCUUCCAUUAACAUAACCCUUGAGACUUUUGGAUUUUACCACUGAGGUUUAUGGUUACACAAAUUCUAUGUUUAUGAUCUUAAAUUCGUUAUCACCACGAAUUGAGUGAAACCGAAAAUCCAACACAUAUUUAUCAAUUGACAGUGAACAAUUUAUAUGUUCUAGAUUAAUCACCAUGGAAUUGACGAGACUCCACUUUUGUGGUUCAUCACAUUAAAUCUCUUUUUAUUUUUUGCGAGAUCUUAAUGAAAUGUUCUAGACCUAAGAAGUUUCUUCCCAUAUGAUCCAGUUUUUAUUUUUCUUGAGAUUUCUAUAGUUUUCCAGCCAUUUAAAUUAAUUUCAAAUCAUACUUGUUCUUAUGGCUACACUAGUCACACAAGUACUUCAUCCGAACGUUCAGAAAUAUGUCAAGUUUUGGAGUUUGGUUGAAGAUAACGCCACUAUUAAGCGUUCAUGAAAAGAUGUCUUUCACCGUUUCUCAACAAACAGACGAUCGUAAUUCAACGGGACACCACACAGACACUCCCGAGUCUCUCUUGACUCCGAAGGAAGAGAUCAUUGCCCAGGAUCCAACUGCUUCAUGUCUUUACUGACAUCACUAGGAUCCCUUAGAAAUUUUGCUUUAUUUCUUUAUCUUUGGCACACUCUUGCACGAAAAUCCUUGUGAUUUUCAAAAAGUCUAGUUCACAAUUCUAUUGGUUACUUUUAGAUUCGGAGAACGGGAAAUGACAAUCAGAUACGAAUGGGUAGAUCAGAAAAGGCGGUCUUUAAGGAAUACGAAAUGGUGAAUCUUAAGGGAUAAGAUUGUGAUAAUGGCGUGUGCACAUUUCAAAUUUUUCCUGACAUCACGCCUUGUCAGUUACGCCGCCUGACAUCAUGCCUGUGACAUACGCUUUUUCAGGUGCUUUUUCAAGGAAAGUGAACAGUCUCCAACUGUAUUUCUCUAUCCUAUACUAAUGUAUAAAAGGUCUUUGACGUUUCAUUCUUCAUUAUAGCUUUCAAAAACUUUUUGCUACCGGCAAUUAAAAUCCUUUUUCUCCCUCAAGCACUGGUUAUCAUCUUCUCCAAUGGCGUCUUCAUCCAACACUCCGUCUGCUGUAGAUCAGACUGCUUCAUCAGGGUUGUUGGGUGUGAAGUCUAACCAAACAUUCUCCCAUGGUUGUUGCUCUUUAAAAACAGAGCAUGUUCCUUUGUAUCUACUGUCUAAGGCUUACUGCACUGCACGAUAUGAAAAGAGUGAUUCUACCAUCUAUUUUGAAAUUGGAAAUCUGAAAACCUGAAUCACCAAGUCAAGAUUCAGUCGAUUGCUGGGGUUUACUCAAGGACGGGAGUUGGUUGAUCCAUAGUCAAUUCUUGACUUUGUGAUUCUAGAAAUAUUUUACAAUAUGGGUUAUAGGGAAUCUCUUGUCAUUGUCUCCAAGUUCAAGAAGCCAAACAUUCCUCCUGUGGGGAAUGUUUUAUUUAUCGUAAUUUUCAAGAGCUUUUCCGAAAGGGUGACCGGAUCUAAUAGUGAAAGUAAGCUUUUUCUCACAAUCCUCUAUGGUUUGUACUCAAGCAUCAAUCUGGAUUAUGGUUCGGUGCUUUGGACUCAACUUGUUCAAAGUACUCUUUCAGUUACAAGGCACAACGAUAUAUCACGUGCUUUUUUUUGUCGAUCGUUAUUUAGAGAGCCAUUGAUCGCCACCAUAUUCCAGUCAUUGAAGGUUCCAUCAUUUCUUAUAUCCCGGUUUUUCAAACUUCAAAUGUGAUUUUAUCUGAUAGUUUGCGUUUUACCUUCAUCGGAUCUAUACCAGAGAUGAUGCUUUGUAAUGUACCGGCCGAUAGUGAAGUAAUCCAAGCCUAUCCUAGACAAAUGGAUUCAGGUCCUCGAGCAUUGAUAGAUAUAGUGCGAAAGGUUCUUGAGGAGGUGGACAAGCCAAAGAAAGGAGGAAAACGAAAAGCAAAGGCAGGAACCUCUGAACCUGCAUAGACUCCGAUGAAAAAGAAGCGACCCACUUGUAGGCAAUGAACUCCUACUCCAAGUGAUGCCAAGGAUUCACAGUCCAAUACCCUCUCUGAUGUUCAUAUUCCAGAGCAAGUCCAGAAAGAUGAAGAAGACACACCUGCCACUUCACACCCAUUGGUUUCGGAGCCAAUCACCACGAAUCUUGAGGUAACCUUCUUUAUGCCAACUUCUAUUCUGAUAACAGAUGACUUCUUCCAAGAUUUUUCUCCUCUUUCUCCUAUUGCUUCUACUACUCCCAUCUCAGUCGCACCAUGUAUGAUUGUUUCAGUGGGUGUUUUGCAACCCCAAGUAUCGGUCGCUCAAUCAACUCCAUUCUUCACAGAUUCCACAACAACAAAACCAUAAGUACAUGUCAGCAUAUCUGAUACAGGGGCAGGUGCUUUGGGUGUAUCUAUUGGUGCCGAUUUCCCACCUAUCUCACUACUGUGAAUAAAUUAUCCAGAUACUAUGUUCGGUGAUGAUCAGGACAACUUUGAAUACUUUCAUUAUAGUCCUUUCAAUAUCUAGCAGUCUAGUGAUGAUGAGGCUCCCAUUACCAACACACAGUUCAAGGUUCUUCGCGAAAAACAAGAUUCUUUACUUGAAUCAUCUAAAACCUCCUCUAGCUUAGACUACUCUAUUGCAGCUCACAAAGCUUUGCUCCAGACAAUGAUGAAGGAUCAUGCUACAAAUCUUGAACAAGUUAAAAAAGUUGUUGCUGAUUCUUCGACUGUCUGCAAGGAUACGACAGAAAAAGUCGAUAAACUAGUUUCCAAUGUUCAAACCUUCAUGGGAAACUUCCAGACUUCCUUUGAGGCCAACACUGCCAAAGCAAAUAAGGUGAUUACUAGUCUUGGCACUACUCUUCGCUCUAAGAAAGCUGCUAUUGAGAAUAUUCAUAUUGGCAUUCAAACUGAUAAUACAGAGUUCCAAUCGUCCAUAUCCGCAAAGAUCGAGGAACUACAAGACGAUUUGGUAAUGGAGAACAAGAUAAUGGAUGAACUUGCAGUAAAAACAGAGAAGUUAAAGGUCAUGUAUGUGAAGCUUACUCAUACGAAUCAACAUAUUGAUGAGCUGAAAUCUGAAAAGGUUGUCAUCAAAAGCUGCAUGGCUAAUAUAAAUUUAUAUUUGCACAACUUGAUUGAGACUCGUGAUUCUCUCCUCACAGUCUUUUUCCAUCAGCAUCUCACAGAAAAAUCGAAGCCCAUCUUCUCAAUGCUCGAUCAUAUUGUCGGUGCUUCGCGAUAUUCUAUUCCAAAACAAGGGGAGAACCUAUGAGAAUUUCUGAUGUGGAUAAAAGAACUAGUGGUCGUAAUGAUCAUGAAGAAAAGCCCAAAUCAAAGAAACUGAAGGUUAAUGUAGCUUCGAGUUCGAGAGGCAAAUAAAAAGUGUUAGAUGAUGGUGAUUUUGAAGAAGAGGAUGAGAAUGAGAAACUAAAGUGUAAAUCUGGCGUUGCUGAACUUGAUAAAAAUCUACGAGUAGCUAAAGAAGCUAAAGAAAAAGAGAAGGCAGCUCGUGACGCAAAGGAAACAUUGAAAGCAUAGAAAACCAUUUUUUCUCUGUAGACACUGGAGCGAAUUUCGAAUGAAGUCAUUAAUAAUCCGAACAGUUAAUAGCUAGAACCUGUUGGAUCAUUCGAGCUGGAGAACUCUCAGGAUUCGCAGAUUAAUUUGCCUAUUACGUCGAAGACAUUUCUGUUUCAUUGUUUUGAUAAGAUUACGAACGUUUCUCAUACUGACAAAGGUGCUGAUGGGAUGCUCUUUUCAUUUUAUCUAAAGCACAUGAGGCCAAAAUAUGAAACGUUGAGCUCAAAGAAGAUCGCAACUGUAAAGGUGUUCGAACCAAUUGAAACUGGGAGCUUUAUUAAUGCUCGUUUCAAGGUUGCUUGCGGGGCAGUGCAUUAAAAGCACGGAUUUACUCUCGCAGAUCUGCCCUACCUCAACCCAUUCUAUUUGAUUUCUCUGUUACUUCUACUGCUAAAGGAUCAACAGAAAUUCAAGCCUAUCAUUGCACAUCUGAAAUGAAUGUUUGUUUGUUACAUCCAAGAGGUUGGUAAGAUGGACAUGAAAAUUGCCAUUUUCCUUAAUAAGAAACCUACAGUUCUCCCCAAGGAACCUCUGAAGGAUCUUUAUACAAUGAAGUUGGGGAGGAUACGAAGGGAGGAUUAGAGUGUCGCUUUUCGCAUAACAGAAAAACCAGAUGUGAACUAUCACAAAGUCGGCUUCUAUUUUCCAGAAAAACAUCUAUACUCUUCUUCCUGUCUAGAAGACACUGUGGAUUUUGUGAGUCAAAAUAAAGUGAACAGCGUUGCAGACAUGAAAUGUUUUUCUGACAUGAUCAAUUGGUACAUCCUGGUUCAUAAGACUCUGCUGAGCAUCAUACCGAAACUCUUUAUAGUUCAGAGAUGCUAACCGCAAUGAAGAAUCUUCCUUCCUAAUUGACACAAAGGGGGAGAUUGUUGGGCUAUAAAGUGUUGUGUUAAUUUUGUAUAGUAUUAUUAUAGUCCAUUAGUAAUGGGUUGGGCCUGUCCACCUGGUUUCAUUAUUGUGCUAGGUUUACGGUAUUUAUAAUGCAUGCAUGCACCGUGUUUUGUAUCAAUCUUCUUGUAACUCUACAUUGCCUUUACACUACCAGUUCUUAGUCGAGCUCAUCUAAGGCAGUGCAUUUUAACCAUUCAGCAUAGCUUUGAUCUCCAUUCUUGUGUUUGAUUAUUUUACCUAUUUGAAUCUAUCGAUCUUAUUUGUUUUAAUCUUAUCAAACCCAAGAAUUUCCCCACCUUUACGCCAAAGUGAUAUUUAGAAUUGUUAAGUUUCCUGUUGAUUUUUUCCAAGAUAUAGAAUGCCUUUUCAAUAUCAUGAAUAUGCUUCUUAGUUUUAUCUGACUUAACCACCAUGUUGUCUAUAUAGACUUCCAUGGUAUUCCCAAGUUAUUCUUUGAACAUUUUGUGUAACACCCGUUCCAGGUAUAAAUUAAUUUCUGAAUGUUAAACUUUUAUUUUGGGUGGCCUCAUAGUGGUAGAGCUUCACCACGGCAUGGCAGUAUUUUUAUGAUUGUGGGAAUUUAAUGACCCGCCAUGGCGUGGCAGCUGGUUUUGGAGAAAACCCUAAUCCUUGGGAUUUAGGCCCUAUUUGAAGGACAUUAUGGCUAUGGUUUCGUGAUCAUUCAGCCUCGACUAUCCUCUCAAGCUCAGAAAGCCUAAUUCUAGCCACCAUUGCAUUUGUGAACUCAUUUUACUAUUUUUGGUGAUCUUUGAAGGAGAUAUAAGCUUUUGGUGUGGUGAUUCACCUUACAAGAAUCGUCUACAUCUUCUAGCAUAUCCUCUGGACCUUGGUGAGUGUCCAAGACCCUAACUUUUCCUUGGAAAGUUUGUAGAUCUUUAGAUUUUGUCCCUUUUCUUCAUGUCUUGAUGGGUUUAGGUGGUGAGAUCUCGUAAAGUUUGCAACUUCAUGAAUCUGUAGAUCAUUUGGGGUAUUUGGUGUUUUGGAUCUAAAGUAGGAAUGAGUUUUGGUUUCAUGCAUGGAAUCUUGUUCAUUAAACCCUUGUUUUGACCAAAUAGGAGUUCAAGACAUGCAUUUGACAUGUAUGUCUUAAAAACACGAUUUUUUAUGUUAAUUAGGUGCUAGGAACCCUCCUGGAAUUGAUCGACAAGAAACCUUCAAGAUUAAGUUCUUAAUGAUUAAGCCAUGUUAAGUUUUUGCCAUUUUUGGAACUAGGAGUAGAGAUCUUGAUCUCUUGGAGAGUCAUAAGGGAUAAAGUUCGAAACUUUAUCCAUCUAGACCCUAGAAUGCACCAAAUUUGAGCUUUAGAGCUCUUUGAAUCGAAGAAAACGGCUUACCCAUUAAGUUGUUGGGAACCCAGUGCCCAUGGUGUCGCCUUAGGUUACCAUGGUGUGAUGACUAGGAAAUGGCCAUCUAUAUUGUCGUAUAUGGGCCACGACGUGGUCAUGGAUGGCCAUGAUGUGGCAGUUGACUAAAGUCAUUAUUGUUGAAUUUUAGACCGGUAUAACUUUUAGUCAACUGAGAAGGGUUGAGAACUUAGAAGGGCGAGAUGGUCUUUUUCUCAAAUGAGGGUUUAUUGUGGUAUCAGGGCUUGUUGAGUUGGGGAUUUAUUGUGAUAGCUAAUUAGGUUUUAGUUUUUGAUAUUUUUAGUUGGAGAGACUUCAUCAGCAGUAGGUCAUGUGUGAGAUCUAUUUGUUGAUUUAUUGAAGUGAUUCUCUUCACUAUACUUGUGGGUUGAAGACACCAAUGUCGACCCAUUAGAUUAUGUUUGUAGGAUGCUUAUUGUGUUUGCGAAUCUUGCAUGUGUUUGCAUUUAUGUUGGACGAGGCCCAUUAUGUUUGAUGGGCGGGACCCACUAUGUGUUUGAAUUCUCAUGAAGUAUUUUCCUUAAGGCUUCUUAUGCGAGGAGCACCCUCAUAUUCUUGAAAAAAUUAAUAUGGCAGUAAUUCCCUUGUACUCGUAUUUUGACCACUCGCUUACACCCCAUCAGUAUCUUGAGUCCUAAUAAUCAAAUGAACUUCCACUAUAACUCCCUCUAACCCAUUGUGUUGAACUAAUACAUCGAGCCAACUACUGAUCCUUCGAGCAGGACCCUAUCUUGCUCCCACCAAGGGCUCAUACCAAAAAGGUUGACAACCUAAAUCUCGUUCAUCAAAAUGGCUCCACCCAUGACUCACAGUAUGCAAGACGGCAUAUGACAAUCCUUCGAUAAUAAUAACCAGGAAAUCACAAGAACGAUGAUCUUUAGGUGGGGACUUAACGAAACCAGACAUAAAGUCUUGCACACACAAACAUACAAGAAAAAAUUAUUAAAAGGCAUGAAGGAAUUCAUACACGCAAGGUCUCGAAGUCUUUGCUCUGCCUCCUAAAAGACUGCGGAUGAUGGGGUCUGAGCCGCCCCAAAUGAUAAACAUGGGAAACUUUCCCAAAUAUGACCUGGUUGAUGACAAAGAUGACAUAACUCUACCUGCAUGGUGCAAUAUUACCGAACAUGACCCUUCCUUUUGCACCUGUCGCAUUUGAACUUGCAGCAUACAGGCUCGUGAGAACCUCCACCCUUAACGAAUGUGUCAUGGCCCCUCGCACUUCCAGCACUAGGCAUGGCAACAUCGAGCUGCAUAGAUGUUGCUAGCAAAGUCAUAUCAUGAGUCCGCUUCCUCUUUCCCAGUUGCAUCUCCAAAACAAGUUCCUGCUUUCGAGUCACCUCAACAUUCCCAUCGGUUUUUUGAAUGGCUAAGAUAUGAUCCUUGAACUUGGCGACCAACAUGUCAGUGAUAUAACCAAUAACGCCAGACAACUCCUUUUGUAAGGUCCAUGAAACCUCGGUGACAAUCCAAUCACGAAAUCGAUCCCCCGGAAGGCAUGAUGUAUCCUUAACCUUUGAUCCCUCGGAGCAAGAACUAGCAAUGGGAUCCUCAUCCCAGAAAAAACUUGGGGCUCCACAACCUUGGACUCGCGGAAAGGAAGAGUAUGGUAUCCUACAAUAUCCAUAAUCUUAGUGUAGAACAUGCUCAUAUGUUCAUCCAAAAUCCCCUUUGUGAUUGUACCUAAGAUCACCAAAGUCUACUGCAAAAUACCUUAGGUGAUCUUUGACGAGAUGAACUCUAGCAUCUACUCAUCAAUCGGCUCAGUACCAGCACCUAAGCCUAAAUCAGAACUUCAACCUCCUCCACACGUGCUCAUCACCAUACUGAAAAGUAACCAUGACAUUAAUAAGAAUAUACCCAAAGAAUCAUCAUCCCAUAAGCUUCCUAGAUUCUCUGUGACUCUCCUCGAUUCGAGUAUGGAUCCUGUGCUUUCAGUAGUACGGGCCCAAUACUACCUUCCGCACCUAUCCAUACUUUUCUCAAGAAUUAUCAUGAAUCCUCUAAGUCACCUUCUCAAACUAGUACUCCAAGUACUCACUAAAUAGCACAUCCAAACCCACUAAAACACUUCUUAUUUUCUCCUAGGUUCCUCACCCCAUCUUGUCAUCAGCUGGUGAAGAUCCCUUACUAAUGUUAGCUAACUACUUCAUGAAUUCAAUUGCAUGCAACAAAGCUUAGAUAAUCCUUCGACUAAAUGACUCAACCCUACAAUGGUUAGACCCAGACAAGAGUUGUGUAGUAUCAAUCACGUUGAGGUUAUUUAACCUCUACAGCAUGCAACAUAACAUAUUCUUGAAAUAAUUAACUCUCACCAUUAUAAGUCCCACAAAUCACAAAGUAAGCAUCAUUUGGGUAUUGAGAAUUCUAAACCAGUGCACCACCUAAUCAGGAUUUUCUAUCCAAUCAUCUGAAAUCCAUAGUAGCAUGAAGUUCUAAAAGCUCAACCAAUAGGCAUAUAAAGGCAUCUCUCCUAAAACUUUAUCAUCCAAAUCUUGAGCAGCUCCUUAGCCCUAAUCUAGCCUGCAAUUCUCAUAACAUAUAACAUAACAUUAUGUAUAGGUAUUUUGGGAAUCACUUACUUGAUAUCGGUUAAUUGCAUACACCACACCCCUUUUUUCUUUAUAAAAAUCUUUGUAGAAAUAUUUAUUUUCUUUCAAAAAGAUUACCAAUUCCUUAAUAUGAGUAGUUUGAGUUCAGACACGCCCGAAAGUGUGCCCGAAUCCCUCAAACCAAGGCUCUAAUACAAACUUGUAACAUCCCAAAAAUCAUAAGUACAAAUUUCAUUUUUAAGUCAACCAAAAACCAUCAAGUAUUCAUAAAAACCACCAAAAGUAUGUCAAUGUGAAAAUAGCUAUCAAAGUAAAAUCCCAAAAUCAAAAAAUGUUGACAUAUGGGUGGAUGAGUUGUGAUCAGGUCAAGCCCUUCCCUUUCGAAUUAGAAGUACCUAAAACAUAAACAUAAACUAUAAGCACAAAGCUUAGUGACUUCCCAAAAUACCACAUACCAUACAUGAUACACACAUAUCAUACUAAAGCAUAUACGAGUUUAUUUCACCCCUGAGUCCCUUCCGACUCUCUGAGUCUCUUCCGACUCCCUGAGUCCCUUCUGACUCAUGAGUCCCUUCUGACUCUCUGAGCCCCUUCUGACUCCUUCAGUAUCUUUCAAUUGGUACAUGCCUAUUUCACCCCUAGAAUUAAGCAUAUAGUAUAUUAGCAAGAGUCAUGAAGAUAGCAAGCACAUACAACCAUCUUAGUAAGUGUCAUAAAGACCACUACUAUCCUACAACAUAAUCCAAUGGGUCGACAUUGUUGCCUUCGACCCACAAGCACAGUAAGGAAACACACCUCAAUCCGAAGGUAACCAAAUCACGCACGCGCUACUGCUACAAGGCUUCUGUGACAACUGUAAAUUUUUGGCCUAGUCAAACUCAAAUAAAGUCAACAAGUCAAACCAGUUAACUCAAUUAACCCUUGUAUAUUAGGGAUUUCAUCAUGUUUGCUAUUGUACAACACCCUAUCUUAAUGCAUAGAACCAUUUUGAGUCUUCACGUGUUCAGAAAAUAUAAACCCUAAUCAGAGUAGGUGAUGGAACUACUCGAUAAAACACUAUUACAUACCCUUCGGGUAAGUAUAACACUCAUAACGAGACUUAAUGAAGUUUAAAAACCUUGCAUUUCGAAGCUAAAAACUCACAAAGGUCCCAAACAAAGUCUCUCUCAAUCUCUCUCUCCCAAAUCUCUCCCAUAUCUCUCAAAUCUCUCCCAAAUCUCUCUCAUAACCUCUCUCAACUUUUCAUAAUCAAUCGGGUCAUCUCAACCCUUAACUUAGUCAAAAAUCGCUCGAAACGGAAAGAUUUAUGGAAAAACAACCUUAGAGGACCGAAAAGUCGAAAACUCUUAGAAGCGAAACCCUAUGAAGUGAAACCCCAAGAGCCGAAGUCGGAGUCUCUAGCGAACCGAACCUUCCCUUCGGUCUGAAACCGCACUGCCUUCGCCUUCACUUCCAACAUAGCACUUCACCUGCAAGAUUUUUCGGAUGAGCCUACUUUUGGUUCCCAGCCCAUAGACCGAACAUACCUUCAGUUCUAAGCACCCGAGGACCAAAUCCUCGCCUCAGACUUUGGAAUUCGCCUUCUUUUCUAGGUUUUCGAUCCUUUUCGCGAUUUCAGCUUGUUUUUCAUGAUUUUAACGUGGUAUUUUCACCCAAACUCAUAUUUUGGCAUAUAAGACCCUAAAUAUUCAUAAUUUAAUCACAUUUUGAGGUAAAUCUUUGUCUAAAAAUAAUAUCUAUUGGGUAAGAUAUUGAGGUGGAGUGUUGACCUUCCCAUAAAGUUAUGACACAAGCUACCCUCCACACCCACUCUAUGACCCUCAGUAACUAUUCAUCCCAACCUAGUCAACUAUUUGUCCUCUCGCCCUCUUUCUCCAGCACAUAAUCUUGAUCAAAGGCCGUAAAUCCUUAAUUCUCCUCCCACAUUACUCACUCUUUCACUAAAAAGCAAACUUAUUUAUCUCUCUCACUUUUUCUCUCUAAAUUCAAAUUUCUAGGUUGUUAUUGAGCAUUCUCCUCCAAUUUUGGUAAGUAUCUUCAUCCUACACUUAAUUAUAUUACACCCUUUCACUCAAAUCAUGGAUUCCUUACACAAAUAUCAUCAUAUUUGUUCAUUGAAUCUUCGAAUCUUCAAGCAUCUCCCAAGUGUUCUUGACUUGGAAACAUCUUUUCUUAAUCAUCCAUCCUAAGAUAUCACUCAAGCUGAGUUCAUACCCCUACAUUUUCAUGUUUUCUUCAAGUUUUAGGGGGGAGAAUACAAGUUAAAUUACCAAAAGCUUAACAAAAUUCAAACAUCAGCUUUCCACAGGAAAGUUUAGUUCCAUUCACGGACUGUUUUGGACACCUCAAACAUUUUUUUUCAAAACUAUACUAGAUGCAAAUAGUUCAGAUUUAUACCUUUAAAAUGAAUACUUUCACAUAUUCACACGAUUUUUCUACAAUUUAUGGUGAUUUUUACAAAACUGUCUAUCACUGUAGCUAUGAAUUCAGACCAGUCUGUGAAUAUGAACAUUUUCACAAUAGUUAGAGACUUCUAAAAAUCAUAAUAAAAUUUAAGAACAAACUAGACACAUUUUAUAAACUCUUAGAGUUUACGUAUUUAGUUUUUGACUUCGUAUGAAUUUUCUAUGAUUUUUCUAAAACAAUGCAGAAAAGUUGAAAACUAGUUAACAGAUUACAACUUCUAUAACACUUUGUAACAUGUUGACCAAAGUGUUAAUCUUUGAUAACCUUAUACCUUAUAUGUUAUUUUCUGUUGAGUUAUGUUUAGAUAACAAAAAAUAUUCACUGUAAUUUAAAUGUCCUUUGUCAUUACAAACAUAUAAGAUGAAACAUAACCAGAGUAGUUGUGUUUUGCUAAAUUACUACUUACACCGAAAGGGGUCUUACUGUCAAUGCAAAUGGGUUUUUCAUUUACUACACAAUAAACUAUAAAGGGUAUAGUUUGGGGGUUUCACAUUUCAAAAAUACAAAACAAAAGGGGAUUUCAAUCCCACCACAGAAAAGGGUUUUACACGCAUACUUCACGUAAACCCGUUAUCGUAAAUUGUGAGACACGUCUUUAUUGUACUCUUAGAGUACGGGUUAAAAUUCCUAAAAUAGUUAUAACCAGAGUCUCUUGUAGGGAGAGCAUGAUAAUUGUAUAUAGAUCUAUAUUAGGAUUGACAACCCACACCCAUUGCUGCUUGCAACAGCCUGACUGACCAGUCGGGGUGACAAAUGUCAUUUCAUUUCCGACGCUUGAAGAAUGUCGCAGCAGGUCUUCUCUGUCAUAGUAUGGUUAUAGCGACUCACAUAGGGAGAUAACAACAUAUAGUUUAUGGGGUUUACUACGUUAAAUGGAUUUAUUUAUUUAAAUGUACAUACAUUUUUUAUAUACAAGUACUAUGUAACAUGCAUACACUCGGUCUUGGGAUUUAAGACUACAUAACAUUUUAAAAGGAGAAUAUUGGAUUUUCUUGGUUAUUCAUAUUAUUUGCAAAACAAAGGGUUUCAAACUAUACAUCCAAAAGCUUAUGAACUCACCAACUUAAUUGUUGACACUUUUUUCAAAACUACUUGCAUUCUCAGGUAAUCACUAAAACAGGUAACUACCAGCUUUUGAGGAUGGGACGUUUCAGCGUCAGGAAAAACAUUUUGUCAUUAUAUUGUAAUCGAUUUUGAAACAUGUAAAGUUGUGAAAUCAUGUAACUUUCUUGAUUAUAUAUAUAAUGGUUGUAUUAACUUUGAGCACUAUUAUACUCGUUGUUGUGAUACUAUACAUGAAGUCCUCCGCCCUCGGACGUUUCCGUCAUCCUUGGUUCAUGGGUGUGAUAGCCUCUCACACUGAACAUAUCCAAAAAUCAUCCCAAUCAAUAAUUAGGGUAAUAACCCACAGUAAAAUGUCUAAAUCAUAAUCCAUCUUACUAAGGGUAAAAGACCAUUUCACCUUUCCCUUACUUGACUCAUCUAACUGAAGUGCUUUAAGCAUUCUAACACUCCUAUGGUGUACAUCCAACCCUAGAAACCUUGGAUAUAUGUUUUAUCUAUGAUACAUGAAAAAUUAUUUUUCCAAGGUUCAUAACCUAUCUAGCAUACAUGGGGAACUUUUAAACAUAAAAUUUAGUAGAAAUACAUACCUUGUAGUUGUUAGGAUUCCUUGAAAACCUUGUGAACCUAGCACCUCAAGUGUGAUGCCUCAAAUGUCUCACACAACACCAUGUAGUUGGAAUAACUUAGAGGCAAAUGGAACACUUCUUGAAAUCGGCUAUCCCUCACUUGUAUGUCUUAGUGGACGACUUUGGUGAGCAACAUGAAGCUUAUAUAGUGUGUUAUAAUUAGGGUUACACCAUGUAAAGCCUAAUUGUCAUGACCUUUCAUUUCCAUGACCCAUGGGUUCUAUAAACACCAUGGAGCAUCCUAUGGGUUUUAGCCCAAGUUGAUAAUCCAUGAAGUAUUAGCCCACUAUAUAAGUAUGGAUGAUUUUCAUAAUCAACCCCUAUAUUUAAUUAGUCUCCUUUUGAUCACUUAAUUAAUUCCAAAUUAAUUCUUGAUCAAUACUAAUUAAAUAAUAUUAUUAAUAUAUUAGAACUUAUAAUAUAUUAGUAAACCUUAAGUGUUAUUUCUCUCAUUUUAGUCUAUCCAAAUUCAUGAUGCCAUGCAACCCAAAUGGACCAUGGCAAACCGGGUCAAGUACAUACCAGAUAUAGUUAUGAACUUAGACGCCUUAUCCAACAGUCUCCCACUUGGAUGAGUCUAAUAACUAUAACUGCAAGUAUGACUUCAGGAACCGAUUUGCAAUUGUAGCUCUUUCAGGUUCACUCGGAAUUGAGAUGAUGAUGAUANUCUUUCAAGGUCUCUCGGAACUAAGAUGAUGAUGAUACGCCAUUUAAGAUAAGUGAUUAUAUAAUCCUCUAUUAUUGAUAUCAGUUGGACAAAUACGUGGAACUAUGUCUUACUUUUUGUCUUGCAGUUGUUUCCCGAUUUCCGAUUUGUUUGAUAUAGAACUUAAUCUAAUAGAUAAACUUCAACUCAUAACUACUUGUUGAAUUAUACACAAAGGCACGUUUUAUAACAUCAAGUUACCAAUACGUUUUCGUACAAUCAAUGCAUAACCAACUCAUAAGCAACAAGUCAUAUCUCUAGGUUUGAAGACUUAUAUGAUAUUACUAUCUCACAAUCACUCAAGAUAAAUUCCAUGAAGUGAUACAAGUGAGUGUGGGUUGAAUCCAAUACUCAAAACUUAUGAGCACUCAUGAGUGUUGUAGCACCUCAUUGCUAUGUCCAACCACAUAGACAUCUACAAGCCAACUCAUGACAGUCUUGAUUCAUAUCUAUUUCCAACAUAUGACUGACUGUGGAGAAUUUGCAUAAUAUGAUAUACCAUAACAUAAUUAUUUUGAAAGUCAAAAUAUGCAAAAUGAAAUUAUAUUAAAUGAUUGACAAAAGAUAGCAACACUUUACUCAUAAAUAAACAACAACUUUUAUUCAUCAUCAAAUGUCAAAUACACUUUACAAAUUUCAAAGCUAUCUAACUACUAAAACUAAUAUCAUCCUUUAGCCCUAUGCGUCUCGCAUACUGGAGAUGCUUAACCCUACCCAGUCCAUUCGUGAGGGGAUCUGUUGGGUUCUCAUCCAAUGAUACCCUAUGUGCCACGAGGAGUCCUUCUUCUAUACGAUGUCUGAUGAAAUAAUUUUUUCUUUCAGUCUGGAAGCUAGCAUCACUAUACCCUACUACUCUCAAGUCAUCACUCCCACCGAGGGUAAGGACCCAGUCCUUAGUCCUCUGUAGGUACUUUGGAAUGUUCUUCACCGCAGUCUAGUGAGCCUUGUCGGGGUUCCCCUGAUAUCUGUUGACCAUGCUCAAGGCGAAGGCCACAUCAGGACGAGUACAAGUCAUAGCAUACAUGAUCGAGCCUACAGCGGAAGCAUAUUGUACUUGACUCAUCUCAGCUAUUUCAACCUCUAUACUUGGACUCUGAGUCUUACUCAAUCUGGCAUUACUCUGGAUCGGUAACUCUCCUUUCUUGGAAUUCUGCAUGCUUAACCUAUUCAGCACCUUAUCCAAGUAGGUACUCUAACUACGUCCAAUUAGUUUUUUACUCCUGUCUUUCAAAAUCCAUAUCCCUAGGAUAUAGGCAGCUUCUCCAAGGUCCUUCAUAAUGAAACACUUCCCAAACCAGGACUUAACCUCCUGCAAAGUUGGGAUGUCAUUUCCCAGGAGUAGUAGUCAUCCACAUACAGUACCAACAAGCUAACUAUACUCCCACUAGCCUUGACAUAUACACAAGAUUCAUCUUCACUCCUUGAAAAGCCAAACUCUUUGACUUUGUCAUCAAAACAAAGAUUCCAUCUGUGAGGUGCUUGUUUCAAUCCAUAGAUGGAUUUUUCAAUCUUACACACUUUAUUAGGGUAUUCUUUGCUGACAAAUCCCUCUAGCUGACUCAUGUAAACAUCCUCAACCAACUUUCCAUUAAGGAAAUCGGUUUUGACAUCCAUUUUCCAUAUUUCAUAGUCAUGAAAUGCAGCAAUGUCUAACAUAACCUUAAUAGACUUAAUCUUUGCUACUGGUGAAAAGGUCUGGUCAUAGUCAACUCCCAGAGUUUGAGAAAAUCCCUUUGCAACUUGUCGUGCUUUAUAAGUGUGUACAUUACCAUCCAUGUCGGUCUUCUUCUUGAAGAUCCAUUUGCACCCAACUGUCUUACGACCUGGUACAUUGUCAACCAAGUUCCAAACUUGAUUGUCAUACAUGGACUGUAUCUCGUUGUCCCUACCCUCUUUCCAUUUAGCAGCCUUAGGGCCUGCCAUGGCUUCCGUGUAGCUGUUAGGUUCAUCCAGACCAAUCAGUUGUUAUCACUGAUAAGUGUAUCACCUUCCACAGUAAUAUGGAAACCAUAAUAAUGCUCAAGUGCAUUCCUAACUCUCGUGGAACGCCUUAGAGGUACAGACUCAUCAGUCAGAUCAACAGGAGUUUCUUCCUUAGGUUGAUUUCUAGUGUUUGAGGUUCCUUCACCACUUCACUCUUGAAUUUUUUCAUGGUCAAUUUGCCUCCCACUGUUUCCUUGGCUUAUGAACUCUCUCUCUCGAAAGACUCCCCUCCUUGCUACAAAGACCACAUUAUCAUUAGGUCUGUAGAAGAUGUAACCGAAGGAUUCCUGUGGGUAGCCGAUGAAAAUACACUUCUCACUUCGGGGUUCGAGCUUAUCGAGAUUCUCACGCCUCACGAAAGCCUUGCAACUCCAAAUCUUGAUGUGGUCCAGAUUUGGAACUUUUCCGGUCCACAUCUCAUGAGGUGUUUUGGCAACCUUUUUGGUAGGGACUAGAUUAAGAAUAUGGGUGGCAGUCUCUAAGGAAUACCCCCAAAAUGAGUUUGGUAGAGAAGCUCGACUCAUCAUGGAACGAACCAUGUCCAACAAAGUUCAAUUACGCCUCUCAACCACACAAUUAAACUGUGGCGUUCUGGUAGGUGUCAAUUGUGAGACAAUCCCACAUUCCUUAAGUUAGUUAAGAAACUCUACACUAAGAUACUCACCACCUCGAUCGGAUUGAAUCAUCUUAAUGUUCCUGCCCAAUUGAUUCUCUACUUCCUGCUUAAACUCUUUGAACUUUUCAAAGGUUUCUGACUUAUGCUUGAUUAAGUAGACAUAUCCAUAUCUACUAAUCACAAAGUAGCGGUUAGCAUCCCUAGUGGCGGUUCUGAAGGGUCCAAACACAUCCAUGUGUACCAGAUCAAACAAACCUUCAACCCUAGCACAAGAACCAGUGAAGGAUGAUUUUUUCAUUUUUCCAAGUAGACAAGAUUCACAACUAUCAUUCGACUUUAAAUCAGAUGACUCCAAGACUCCAUCCUUUUGGAGUUGGCCUAUGUGUUUCUUGCUUACAUGUCCAAGAUGACAAUGCCAUAAUGAUGCUUUAUCCAAGUUAGUGGAAGAAUCAAUACACAACACAUUAUUUCUUAGGUUAUCUACAACAGACACAACUGAUGGGUUUUAGCCAUAAGAACAUCCUAUGUGCUCAUGCAACCCUAAUUCUUAGAUCUGGGUUUCUCUAUUGUACAUGCUAUUCAUCCAAGACUUUAAAACCCUAGAUCUAAUCAAUAUAACAUAUGAAUUAGGGUUUAGAUCAUACCUUGAUUGUUAUGUAGUAAUAACAAUCUCAAUUCCUUCUUGUAUUGACUUUAGAAAGCUUAGAGUCACAAAUGUCACUCCUCUAAUGGCUCACAAACACCAAGAGCAAGAGGAUGAAGAAUAAGGAGGGAGGAAGUUGCCCCAAACGUGUGGAAACCCUAGAGAACAAGUUCCUUACGUUUUUGGGGCUUAAGGGUUCCUUAAAUAGUGAGGCUAUUAGGGUUAUCUAACAAGGAAACCCUAAUUUGGAUGCUUAGGCCCUAAGCAACCCAUGAACCCCUUUCUUAAAGGCCUUUGGACGAUUUCUAAUGGGUUUCCCCAUAUAAUUCGUCAACCCCUUUAAUAUGGAGUCCAUUAGCUCAAUAUUCAACUAUCACACAAUUGACAGUUUUAGUCCCUUAAGUUUAAUUAAUGUCUUUUAGCCACAAACUUAAUUCUUAUUAAUUCUUGACUAAUAUUAAUUAAACAAUAUGAUUUCUCCUUCAAUAUAUUAUUCUCAUAAUAUAUUAAUAAAUCAUAUUUAAUCCUUUCUCUCCAUAAUUCAUCCUAUCAAGUUGCUUUGGUGAAGGCAACCCAAAAGGACCAUGCACCAUCGGGUCAAGUACAUACCAAAAUAGUUAUGGACUUAGACACUAAUCCAACAGUCUCCCACUUGGAUAAGUCUAAUAACUAUUAUGCGUAUGACUUCAGAUCCUGAUCUGCAAUCGUAGCUUUCCAAAGCCGCUGUCAACUCUGAUCUUAUCAGAUACGCGUCCUUUAGAUAAGGGAUCAUAUAUUCCUCCAUUCUAGAUAUCGUAUAGACUGAGACAUGGAUUUAAAUCAUUCUCUCUGUCUAUGUGUUGUUUCCCGAUUUCCGAUUUAUGACGACUGACAACAGACUACAAUUGAACACAUCAAAUUAGUCCCGGCUUGGCCAAGCGCUUAGGUGUCAUCACUAAAUCAUCGAGGGGCCCACAGAUAUCGCUUUCAUCCUACUUUGGAUAAAAGGAACGGAUAAACUUUGAUUCAAUGCUUGCUUGCACUCACUCACCGAAUCACACACAACAAUAUGUUUUAUGACACCAAGUUACUGGUGCGUUUACAUAUUAUCAAUGUGUAACCGACUCGCAAGAUACAACUCACACAUCUCGGUUUCAAGAAUAUAAGAUAUUAUCGUCUCACCAAUCACUCGUGAUAAAAUCCAUGAAGUGAUCCAAGUGAGCGUGGGUUUAAUCCAAUGCUCAAAUCAUAUUCAUAAGCACUCAUGAACGUUGCAGCAAACAUUUGCUUAUGUCUAAUACACUUUAGACAAUCCACACACCAAUUCACGACAGUCUUCAUUCAUACCUACUUCCAACAUAUGAACGACUGUGGUCCGUUCGAAUAAUUUGAUUGUUCUGAACCAAUUUAAUUAUUCAGGAAGUCAAAACAUGCAAAGUGAAACACAAGAAUAAUACUAAUCCCAUAUGGCCCCAAACUCUGGGUAUAAAUAAAACAUUUUAUUUAAUCACCAUAUUGAUUACUCAUUAUUUGUUGUUUCGGGUAAUCAACUUCUUACUUGAAUUAUUACUACACUUGUCCCAUGCUCUUAGCAUGCACACAAUGUUUACCUACGGUCCUUACUUUGUGAAAUAGAUCAAAUGAACACAUUUCCAAUCAUACUCAUUUCACAACUCCCAAUCCUUAUCAUAAGUAUAAGAAUAUCAAAUUCUUGUUACUUAUGCUAGAUUCUAACAUUUUAUGCAAUGAUUCUUUCGUAAAGUCAUAGCUCAAAAUCAUCAAGACUUGGCCAAUCUCUAUCAGAAACAAUUCUAUAGAUAUGAUGUCUCUCACUCAAAGUACAUUCCUUUGAACAUCCUUCUUGCAUAAAAGUUUCUAAUCUAGAUAUAGAUUCUCAAUAUCCAACUCCCAAUAUGGAAACAUUUCCAUAUUUGCCAUAUGACAACUCAUUCUUAAUAGAAUCUUAUCUAUUCAUAAUAAUGUCGAUAUGGUCCAUCCAAUACCAUACUUCCAACUACUCACAAGCGACCAAUCCUCAGCGAACUUUGGAUCGUCCUUUGAUAGUUGUUUAAUUAUCUUAGUCAAAACCGAUUCUUGUCCUUUUUCCCUCUAAAUGCGCUAGACAUUUGGAAAAUUUUAGAAUGGUCAAAUAUUAUAGCAUUUGCAAUCGAUCCUAUACCCGAAGCGUAUGGGACACGAUGCAUAAUGUCUUACAUAAAGAUCUGAUACUUUAUCAAUCUUCUGCCAUAAUAUUUUAUGUGCCACGUUCUCACAAUUCGAACUAUGCCAUAAUCAUAAUCGAAAUUUGAGAACACACUAUGUAUCCUUGACUAAAUUUAUUAACAUUCCACAACCUAAGCCUUUAGAUUUGAAAUGAAGCAUAAUAUUCUCUCCCUUAAUUAUAGCAAAACAACUAUUCAACCCUUACGACUUUGCAAAGUAUAACUCUUGUUUUCUAUAAUUAAUAUUGCUAACUUGCAAUACUUGCCUUAAUAAUCAUACAAGCAUAACAUUUAUGCUCCCACUAUCAUGAUGAUUAUUAUCAUAUAAGCAUAACACUUAUGCUCCCACUAGCUUUGACAUGUAUUUAGAAAACAACUGAACUUCCAGAAAACAAUACCUAUUGAAUUUCUUAAGUUCAUAUUUCUAAUACCUAAUGCUUUGAUAAUCCUUUAUCUAAGCUUCUUAAACUUAUACACCUUUGCCUUAGAUAGCUCAUAUGUGUGUCUAAACAAUUCAGACUAAUUGCCAAAUCUCACAAUUCGAAUCAUGGAAAGGGAUACCGUAACCAUAAUCGAAUUCGAGAAUACAAUUUUCACAAUCACUAUCUUCUUAAAAUCUUUCUUAGUGAAAGCAUUUCCUCACAGUCAUUUUCAUGAAGGAGGGAAUCUUAUGACACUUAGAUUUUAAUGGUGUAUGUGUUCCUAUCCAUGUGAAUUUGUCAAAACCAAAGUUUGCGACAAAUCCAAACUCAUAUGGACCGAACUUUCUCAAUCUUGAUUUCUUGCCUUAUGGUAACACGGCUGCCCACCAUGUCUUCCAAGUAGUUAAGCAGCUCACCCUUUCCUAUCAAUGUACUUUUCAUUGAUCAAGGUCCUUGCCUUUUAUGCAUUCAAAUGAGAACUCAUAGGGCUCACAUGCAUAAUUAACUCAAUUGGAACGGCACAGAAACAAGGUAAUGUCAACACGAUAGGUUGUAAACCUCUACUCGUGUGCUAGUGAUGAUCGAUAAGGUUUAUUCUUGAUUUGUUCUUGAAACCUUUCAAGACCAUUAAGACUCCCACUGACUCCUUGACAUAUAAGAUUCUCUUGUCAAUAAACAUUUCUUGACAAACAAAUAUUCAAGAGUUAGUGUAGCCUUUAUCAAGACAAAACAUUUUAAAAAAUUGGUCCUAGUUGGUCUUUGUCUUAUCCAAGACAUCACAACUUACCAAUUUCAAAUGUGCAAGAAUAAGAAAACCUUUUUCCAAAUUCUACACUUGAUGAAUGUUAUAAACCUUCUUAAGACUUGUCACUCAAUGUCACAAUCUUAACUCUAAGACUUGUUUUGGAACGAAGUAUGAUUGACUUCUUGAUUUAACCAUUUCUUCAAUUCUUGAUUCCUCUUCUUAUACAUACAAUUGUACUAAGACUUACUUAGAGGAUCAAUUGAAAUAUGGUUCUUAAUCAUUAAGACAUAUCAUAAAGUAUAAAAGGUACUCUCCCUUCUUCUUAGAAUAGAGAAACUUUUAUCUUUCUGCCUACUUGAUUCUUCUUAUUCGUUCUGCUAUUGAUUUAAACCUUUUUCAAUCAAUUCAGAAUUACACUUAAUCUUAUAAGUAUAAUCAUAUUUACUAAUCCUUUAGUAAAUCAUGACGAAUAUCUUUGUUACUCUUGUGGUGGACUUGAUCAACACACAACUUUGUGUACUCGAUCUCCUAGUCCUUCACUUGACACUUUGUCAACGACUUAGUCUAAUUUCCAAAUAUGAAAUUUCUCAUUCAUCGUGCAACCAAGUUGCAUGAUUCCAAGUUUCUGUCCAAUUGAAACUUGGGCGAUGAGAAACUCUCCCUAUUUGGUAAAUUCUCGACAUUUCCACAAUUAUCAUAAUUAAGAAUAACAUCCAUUCGUUGUAGAAAUAUGCAAACAUCAAUUUUUCAUAAUGAUUUCAUUGCAAGGAAAUAAAAUAAAUAAAUAAAUAAAUACAUCAAACAAAAUUUAUUUUAUUCAUAAAAGCAGCAGAAAACAUAUGUCCUUACAAUGCAAAAUUUACUGAAAAACUAUGUAAUCAAAUAUUCCUAACAAUCCUAUCAUAACUUUCUAAGCUCAAAAUCUAAUCUUCAAGUCCAUGCGAUCGAGAUCCAUUUCUUUGUGAUUAGACUCAUUUUGCUUUUACUAUCAAGCUUCCUCUCUUUUCACUGAUUCUGCAAAACAUUCAAAUGUAAUCUGAGCACAUUAUGUAUUAAGAAUCAACGAAUAGGAACUUAAUGAAGUUAGAUAGUGGAUUUUACCUGAAGCACAUCCAUACUCUUUGACUCUCCCAUCUUCUGGACUCUUUAGGCUCUUAGGGCAGACUUGUAUCCAACGCCCUUUCUCUUGGCAGCAAACGCAGGUUGGUUCUCCUAGAACGUCCUCGGAAGCAUGGUUGGUUGACUUUCCCAACAAAUAUGCUCCAUUGCUUUGCCAAAUCAUUUCUGAUUCAGCAGCAAUGAGCAUGUAAGUUAGGUCAAUGAGGUUUUCGUCAUGAUCCAUCAUAUAAUACUUUCUUUUGAACUCAUUAUAUGAUUCAGGAAGUGACUGCAAAACCCAAUUCACAGCCAACUCAUCUGGGAAUGACACACCCAACAUUAUCAACCUAUCAAUGUGUGAUUUCAUUCCUAGAACGUGGGCACACACGGGUUUACCAUCUUCAUGUUUCAUUUCCAAUAGGGCUUUAGUGACAUUGAACCUUUCAAUUCUUCGAUCUUGUGGGUUAGGGAGAAUAAUUGGAGGAGGUGGAGGAAGUGAAGCAUGAUUUCUUGUUCCUCGAUCGAAUCGUGGAAUAUCAUCUUCAUGUGGAAUGCUUGUUCCACGGGAUUUGGGAAGACCAUAGUUGUCGUACUUUGACAUCUACAAAACGGGAGAAAACAAAUUCAAGUUAGUUGAUUGAUUGAGUCCUUAAUAAAUCACCCAAAUGAGAUAUUAAGGCUAGGACCCAAUAGAAUAUUCCACAACUCGGGAGAGGGAUGUCGUAACCCUAAUUGCAAAACAUUUGAAGGUAAGUGAAUGACGAUUCACUAAUUUUCCAACAUGAAAAAUGAAAAACAGAUUAAGUCUUAAAUGUAUUGAAAACUCCUAGAUUCUUUUAGAUUCAUUGAACCUUUUCAAUGGCAUGUUUAAAUCUCGAUAUACCCCUCUAGUUUGUGACUGGGAUGCCGAGGAUCACAAAGCGGGUGUGAAUAACCAUGCAAACUUACAUGGUGCCCUCACAUGUUACAGUCACCUAUUCGAUGUGCCGGUAAACCACACACGCUCCACCGAACUAUGACAAACAUUGAGUCACCCUUUGCUACCUUUGCUUAGAACCAUUUAGUGUGCCGGUAAACCACACACGCUCCACUAACGUCUUCGCAAGGGCACAAAGUGUAAUUUCAUGGAAUUGCAUCAAUUCACUUUUGCCUAAGUAACUAAGAUUGGGAAUUUGUAAAACAUUUAGUUACUUUUGUACUUCAUUAUACUUAUAAUGGAAGGUUUUGUCCUAUCCUACCCGUUCGGCUAACGACCCUCCACUAGUCAAGAGUGCGGUGGGUAAGAGUGGAUACCCAUUCAAUCGCCAUUUUAUAGGCAAUUUCCUUAAACACCCCUUAUAGACCAGCUUCGUGAAUGAGGCCUACUAACGGUAAGACUGACUUUUACUCAUACAUAUAUAUAAUGUUAGACUUUUAAUGUUAUAUAUAGUAUAGGGUGUAUUUUACACUUUUAAAAUACUAGGUGGUCAAAUUUAACAAUUAUACUUUUAAUUCAAUUAAAUUGUAAACCUAAACUUUUAUGGAUUUAUUAAACCUCUUUUAAUUAUACACCUUAAUUAAUUAAUAAAACCAUAAGGGUGUGAUUUGAACUUUUCAAAACAAUACUAGGGUUUUAGAAUUUAACAUUCCUAAAUUAAACUUUUAAUCAACUUUUAAAUUCCAAAACUUGAGGGCAAGUUUUGAAACAUUUCAAAACAUUAGGGUUUAGAAUUUAAAUAUUUCAAAAUCAAACUUUUCAAUCAAAAUUUAAAUUCCAAAACUUGAGGGCAAGUUUUGAAACCUUUUUCAAAACAUUAGGGUUUCAACUAUUUAAAUUUCAAAACAAAACUUUUGAGUUCUAAUUUAAACUAUAAAACCUAAAGGGAUUAAUUUGAAACUUUUCCAAACUUUGUCAAGAAUAUUCUAGAUCACAUAAUUCAAAUAAGGCAAUUAACUAUAAUUGGUGGUUAUCUAAUUAGAUCUAGUUCAAAUUCUUGCAAGAUAAUGAUCAAAUAAUUUCCAUAACUUAACAUUUAUCAAAUAAGGUAACAAUUAUCUAAUUAGAUGACCAAAAUCUUUUAUUUUGACAAGGAUAAUCAUAAGGAAUCAAUAAAAUUCGAAUUUUAUUGAUUUUAAACAAUUAUGGUAAUUAUCCUAAGUCAAAAUAGGAAAAAAAAAAUCCCGAAACAGCCUCCUUCUGACGCUCGAACUCGCCGAGUUCCUCUAUGGACUCACCGAGUCCACAUUGGAACUCGCUGAGUUCAUCAGACAGGGGGCCAAAAAUCGAUUAUUGAAGCUUGAACAAAUAACCAAGGCAACAAUACAAUAGAAACCAAUCAAGGCUCAAAUACCACUGAUGGGUUUUAGCAAUAAGAACAUCCUAUGUGCUCAUGCAACCCUAAUUCUUAGAUCUAGGUUUCUCUAUUGUACAUGCUAUUCAUCCAAGACUAUAAAACCCUAGAUCUAAUCAAUAUAACAUAUGAAUUAGGGUUUAGAUCAUACCUUGAUUGUUAUGUAGUAAUAACAAUCUCAAUUCCUUCUUGUAUUGACUUUAGAAAGCUUAGAGUCACAAAUGUCACUCCUCUAAUGGCUCACAAA
rnacentral:lncRNA from 1 species